AAAAUAUUUUGGCUGGAUUAGCUAUUUGGUUUUCAAACUAACUGGCUCAAAAGUUUUCAAAGUAUAAUAGAUGCUUUCAUUAUAGGCAUUUAGAAAAAGAAAAUGAAAAACAUAAAACAAUCCUGAAAAAGAAGCAAAAGGCAUCAACUUCAACAAUCUAAGCUUCUAGAACUUGAUUGCUUCAAUUUUUGGAAAAUAACUCAAAAUACUAAAUUGUCCUUUUUAAAGCAAAAUCCGGAAGCAAGAAAACUGUCAACACCUGGGCUGUUAGAUACUUUGAAUGGCACUCCUCACUGCUAGCAGACCACAAUAGCUACAACCUACAUCAAUUCAAAUUGUAACUAAUAUUUAGAAGGACAAAAGAGCAAUUUCUGUGAACAUUUGAAAAAUGUAGAGGCAAUUUUAAAAACCAAAGGGAAUAGAAUAUCCAAGAAGGGAAAAAUGAGCACAAAAUAAGGAGCAUUUAGAAGAAACAAGUGGCACAAAUAAAAGAAAGGAUUUUUGAAAUUUCCAAGAACCUUAUCUGGUUAUGUUCUAUAUCUAAGAGAAUCUUAAACUGUUCAUUUCCGUUGCAUAUGAUGCCUCUAAUCCUGCCCCUAACUUAUUUGUUUUGCAUAUAUUUGUUUGUAUUUUAUCUCAUAUAGAUGGUUAAUUUUUAAAUUUUCUUAAUAUAUAAUUUUUUUUUCCUAAAU
rnacentral:misc_RNA from 1 species